GCGCAUAACAUACAGUGCAUUUGACAAUGUCAACUGAAGCCUUUACAGUGAUGUGGAGAAAUGAAACAGGAGGAAGUUCUCAAUUGUCCCUCAUGGUUAGUUAUCUCAUGAUUCAAAUUAACUCAGGCAGCAAAUCAGAUUACAAACAUCUGUUGAUUUUUUCUGGAUUACUUUGUUACACCAUAUUAAUGAUGUCCAGUAAUGGUGAACCUGCAGGUACAGGAGCAUACGUAUGGACUCAUAACUGGGAACGGCUAAAGACCUGAUAAAGGCCUAAUUAACCAGCAGGCUAAAGCUCCAGAUGGUGACAUUUCUGCAGAAUCUAACAUGGAAACGAUGAUUUCAUGACUUAAGAAACAGAAACAAACUAUUAUAAUAACAUGGCCG
rnacentral:lncRNA from 1 species